rnacentral:rRNA from 1 species
AUAUACUUACGGAAACCUGAGGUCAUACCCGAUCAUCUUUCGAACAGCAUGGUUCGAUAGCGAAAGAUCUCUCUGCUUUCACUGAUCCAUGGUCGCAUGCCGUAGUAGGUAGGGGGUAAGGUCACGGCUGACCCAAGCUACAAUUCGUCGCCGACCAGAGAGGGUGAUAUGGCAACCUGGAACUGAGACACACUCCAGACUCCUACGGGAGGCAGCAGUAUUGGAAUCUUCCGCAAUGGGCUGAAAGCCUGACGGAGCAACGCAUGGUGAAGGGAUUAAGGUCUUCUGAUAGUUAAACUCUGGAGUUAGGGAAGAACAUACGUGUCAAGUUUCUCUUUACCUCUUGACGGUACCUAAUCAGAAAGCCACUGCUAACUACCUGCCAUCAGAACUCGGUAAUACGUAGGUGGCAAGCGUUAUCCGGAAUUAUUGGGCGUAAAGCGCGCGUAGGCGGAUUUUUAAGUCUGAUGUGAAAGCUCACAGCUCAACCGUGGACGGUCAUUGUAAACUGUAAAACUUGAGUGCGGAAGAGGAAAUUGGAAUUCCAUGUGUAGCGGUGAAAUGAGCAGAGAUAUGGAGGAACGCCAGUGGCGAAGGCGACUCUCUGNUCUGUGACUGACGCUGAUGUGCGAAAGCGUGAGGAUCAAACAUGAUUAGAUACCCUGGUAGUCCACGCCAUAAACCAUGAGUGCUAUGAGUUUGGGGGUUUCCGUCCCUUAGUGCUGCAGCUAACGCAUUAAGCACUCCNCCUGGGGAGUACGACUGCAAUGCUGNAACUCAGACGAGUGCACGGGGACCCGCACAAGCGUUGGAUCAAGUGGUUUGAUUCGAAACUACCCUGACAUGCUUUCCAAAUCUCGACAUCCUUUGACAACUCUGUAGAUGGAGUCUUCCACUUCGGAGGAAGAAGUGACUGGGUGUGCAUCGUUCCCGACAGCUC